GCUAGACCCGCGCGCAGGCGGAAAGCCCUACGCUCCGCAGCAGUGACAACAGCGGUAGACUGGGUCUCUUUUUUUCCCCUUUCAUUUCUCUUCUUUCUUUCUUUCUUCUUUCUUUUUUUUUCUUUUUGAGUCGGGGUCUCAUUCGGGCAGGCUGGCCUCUAACGUCCUGCGUUUUAGGUUCCCAGGCGCCACUACGUUGGGCUUGCCAGGCAGUUUCAUGACCGUCUUUUUUGAGGUGCGUUCCCAAGCCAAGCGGAAACUCGAGAAGAUUGGCCCAUUGUUAAGGAACUACUUACUGAAGAGGGUAGAAAAUUAAGACUUCAUUGCAGCCCCCCCCCAACCCCUCAAACAAACAAAAGAAGACAAAAGCCACCCUUGCAUGCUGUAAUUUCCCUGGGUCUCCCAGCACUUUACAAGAUUUGGUGAGUUUAAAGCCACAUAACAGGGCAGCUUGUACCUUACAAGUGUUCUGAACGAAAUGCAGAAGGUGAAUGUGAAAACCCAUCAGGUUUGUGGGAACAGUUGUGUAUUUUGGAAAUAAGUGUCACCAAACCCAGUCACCAGGCCUGUGGCAGUUGUACCUUGGCUGGCUUUGCUAGCGCUGUUCCUAUGAAUGGGGUUUGGGAGAGCUGCAAGCAUUCCUUUCUCAUGGAGACAUAAACCAUGUCUACCUCCCCCUCAACAAUAGGUUAGGUCUCCAUAACAAACCAAAGGUCCCCACAGGAACUAGAAGGUUGUUGGGUUUACUUACAGAGUCUGAGUGAGGGGUUACUGGCAGGUGACCAUAAAGUGACCACAUUAGAAAGUCUUCACCUAGCAAGACUUUCCCAAAGUCACAUAGACAGAGUCCCCUUCAGUCAGCUUCUCCCAGCAUGAAAACUGUAUUGUCUCUGGAGACCUGAGGUCACGUGCAGUUGGAUGAGAAUGACAUGCAGAUGGCCAGGAAGAGUGGCUGGCAUCUCAGGAAAUGCCUAGUGACCCUCCCUACCCAUCCCUUCUUUGAGAGAACAGCAACUGUGCACUGGCUCAAUCAUGAUGGCUGCUUCCAACCAGGCACAGCUGACCUGGUCAACACAGCUGCUCUUUGACUUGGAUGACCAAGGAGGAAGGGGUAGACACUCUGAUAUUAUUUAGGGGUGCAGGAAUAGGUCCAUUUUCUCUGUCAAUUAAGUCAAAGGCAGGAAAAGUUUGAAAGUGAAGCAAAGCCAAACUUUAUUCAAAGUGCAAAUUUUAUACAGUUAAGAAAGAAAGAAAGAAAGAAAGAAAGAAAGAAAGAAAGAAAGAAAGAAAGAAAGGCAAACUUCCCCAGGGCAGGCAACUUGUCAAUCUUAGCAGCCCAGAGGAGGAGAGUGACAGGAAAGGGGCAAAGGGAAAAGCCAUUUGAGUAAAGCCAGCAAGGAUGAGUGGUGUAUCAGAGAAAGAGUAAGGAAGCCCAAGUACUAGGGUGGAAAAGCAUUUAUAGGCUCUGGAAACAAAGAAAUAGCCAAGAAAAAAGCAAAAGGAAAUAGUUGAACCUUUUAAAAUCAGGACUCAUUAAGGUGGG
ensembl:lncRNA